GAUGAACGCUGGCGGCGUGCCUAAUACAUGCAAGUCGAGCGAACAGAUGAGGAGCUUGCUCCUCUGACGUUAGCGGCGGACGGGUGAGUAACACGUGGAUAACCUACCUAUAAGACUGGGAUAACUUCGGGAAACCGGAGCUAAUACCGGAUAAUAUAUUGAACCGCAUGGUUCAAUAGUGAAAGACGGUUUUGCUGUCACUUAUAGAUGGAUCCGCGCCGCAUUAGCUAGUUGGUAAGGUAACGGCUUACCAAGGCAACGAUGCGUAGCCGACCUGAGAGGGUGAUCGGCCACACUGGAACUGAGACACGGUCCAGACUCCUACGGGAGGCAGCAGUAGGGAAUCUUCCGCAAUGGGCGAAAGCCUGACGGAGCAACGCCGCGUGAGUGCUGAAGGUCUUCGGAUCGUAAAACUCUGUUAUUAGGGAAGACCAAAUGUGUAAGUAACUAUGCACGUCUUGACGGUACCUAAUCAGAAAGCCCCGGCUAACUACGUG
rnacentral:rRNA from 1 species